CGGAGGGUAGUGAGGCCAGAAGCAGGGUGAGGAUGGGGACCCAGCCCUUCCAGCCACCCCAAGGUGCUCCCAGAGUCAGGGUACAAAGCAGUAUGUCAGAUCCAGAUAUUUUCCUAGUAUCCCCAUGUGCUUGCUUGGGUUUUAUCGGCAAGUUCUCUGCCUUGGGAAGAGCUAGUCCCCUCCUUCCACCAAGAGGGAUCUGGAGACAGCGCAGGUCAUCAGGCUUGGUAGCAAGUGCUUGUACCAGAUGUGCCACCUUGUCUGCCUCUCUGAUCUCAGAACUGGAGACUAGAACCUGGCUCACUAGACACUGCUAACGUCAGCAGGGUCAACAGUGGUGUGGUGCUCAGGGCUAGUCAGACAUGUAACCUGCUGCUUGGAAGACAGGCCAGGAGCCCAGGCAUAAGCUGAUCCACUGCUCUGUGGCACUGGCUAAGUAAGCAGGGGUUGGCCCCUUUGGGGCUGUUUCUCAAGGCACAAGCAGAAGUGCCUGUUCUAUUUUAUGUCCUAUUGGGGCUACAUGGGAAGUCAUCAGAAGCGGGGAGAGUCACCACAAAGGGACCCCAGGAUGCAGGUUGUAGGCCUUACCUGGGCACUCCUGGAGGGAUCCCAGGGGGAAUCCGUGCUGGCCGAGACGGUAUCUGAGGUGGCGCAGAGAAGGGGUCAUUGUUGGCAAACACAUUCUGUGGUCCAGGCCGGGAUGGGAUGGGGGGUGCCGAGAAGGAGGAUGUGGCCCCCACAGGCAUAGGAAUGAGGGGAGGCCCCGGUG
rnacentral:lncRNA from 1 species